rnacentral:rRNA from 1 species
CAGCAGUGGGGGAAUAUUGCACAAUGGGCGCAAGCCUGAUGCAGCCAUGCCGUCGUGUAUGAAGAAGGCCUUCGGGUUGUAAAGUACUUUCAGCAGUGAGGAAGGUGGUGCAGUUAAUAGCUGUAUCAUUUGACGUUAGCUGCAGAAGAAGCACCGGCUAACUCCGUGCCAGCAGCCGCGGUAAUACGGAGGGUGCGAGCGUUAAUCGGAAUUACUGGGCGUAAAGCGCAUGCAGGUGGUUUGUUAAGUCAGAUGUGAAAGCCCGGGGCUCAACCUCGGAAUUGCAUUUGAAACUGGCAGACUAGAGUACUGUAGAGGGGGGUAGGAAUUUCAGGUGUAGCGGUGAAAUGCGUAGAGAUCUGAAGGAAUACCGGUGGCGAAGGCGGCCCCCUCGGACAGAUACUGACACUCAGAUGCGAAAGCGUGGGGAGCAAACAGGAUUAGAUACCCUGUAG